UUUAAAUGGCCGCAGUAUACUAACUGUGCAAAGGUAGCAUAAUCAUUAGUCUUUUAAUUGAAGGCUGGUAUGAAUGGUUGGACGAGAUAUUAACUGUUUCAUAAAAAUUUAUAUUAGAAUUUUAUUUUUUAGUCAAAAAGCUAAAAUUUAUUUAAAAGACGAGAAGACCCUAUAAAUCUUUAUAUUUAAAUUAUUAUAAUUUUAUAGAUUAUUUUUAUUAUAAUAAUUAAUAAUAUUUUAUUGGGGUGAUAUUAAAAUUUAAUAAACUUUUAAUUUUUAAAAUCAUUGAUUUAUGAAUAAUUGAUCCGUUAUUAACGAUUAAAAAAAUAAGUUACUUUAGGGAUAACAGCGUAAUUUUUUUGGAGAGUUCAUAUCGAUAAAAAAGAUUGCGACCUCGAUGUUGGAUUAAGAUAUAAUUUUAGGUGUAGCCGCUUAAAUUUUAAGUCUGUUCGACUUUUA
rnacentral:rRNA from 1 species